rnacentral:misc_RNA from 1 species
UAGCAGCACUGGAGCUGCCAAGGUGAGAACUUUAUGAAGUUGACAAUCAAUUGUUGGUGUAGCUGUUUUCUGUGAAUAUAAUAUUGCUGAAUGCCCUAUAGUUAUUUGAAUGUCCUGGGACGUACUGAUUUACAGGCUUUUAUUCUAUGUGGUGGUUAAUCGUCACAUAAUCAAAUUUAGUGCUGCAUUAUCUGGAUAUCUGAUAGCCUCUCUCCACUUAUCUCAAUUUUGGUUUUUUCUUAGGCUGUUGGGAAGGUGUUGCCUG